rnacentral:rRNA from 1 species
AGUGAACGCUGGCGGUAGGCCUAACACAUGCAAGUCGAACGGCAGCACAGUAAGAGCUUGCUCUUACGGGUGGCGAGUGGCGGACGGGUGAGGAAUAUAUCGGAAUCUACUUUUUCGUGGGGGAUAACGUAGGGAAACCUACGAUAAUACAGCAUCCGAUCUACGGGUGAAAGCGGUGGAAAUUCGGACCUUGCGCGAAUGAAUGAGCCGCUGUCGGAGUUGCUAGUUGGCGGGGUAAAGGCCCACCAAGGCGACGAUCCGUAGCUGGUCUGAGAGGAUGAUCGGCCGCACUGGAGCUGGGACACGGUCCAGACUCCUACGGGAGGCAGCAGUGUGGAAUAGUGGACAGUAGGCGCGAACCUGAUCCAGCCAGACCGCGUGGGUGAAGAAGGCCUUCGGGUUGUAAAGCCCGUUUGUUGGGAAAGAAAAGCAGCAGGUUAAUACCCCGCUGUUCUGACGGUACCCAAAGAAGAAGCACCGGCUAACUUCGUG